UACGUAGGUGGCAAGCGUUGUCCGGAUUUAUUGGGUUUAAAGGGUGCGUAGGCGGUCUAUUAAGUCAGCGGUGAAAUACUCCAGCUUAACUGGAGGGGUGCCAUUGAUACUGAUGGACUUGAGUCAAGUCGAGGUAGGCGGAAUUGACGGUGUAGCGGUGAAAUGCUUAGAUAUCAGGAGGAAUACCGGUGGCGAAGGCGGCCUUCUGGACGGUGACUGACGCUGAGACGCGAAAGCGUGGGGAGCAAACAGG
rnacentral:rRNA from 1 species